rfam:Schistosoma haematobium scaffold1881_2, whole genome shotgun sequence.
AUCCAAUUGAUGAGUCUUAAAUAGGACGAAAUACGCAUCAAACUGGAU